rnacentral:rRNA from 1 species
UACGGAAGGCAGCAGUGGGGAAUAUUGCACAAUGGGCGCAAGCCUGAUGCAGCCAUGCCGCGUGUAUGAAGAAGGCCUUCGGGUUGUAAAGUACUUUCAGUCGUGAGGAAGGUGUUAAGGUUAAUAACCUUAGCAAUUGACGUUAGCGACAGAAGAAGCACCGGCUAACUCCGUGCCAGCAGCCGCGGUAAUACGGAGGGUGCGAGCGUUAAUCGGAAUUACUGGGCGUAAAGGGCACGCAGGCGGUUAAUUAAGUUGGAUGUGAAAUCCCCGGGCUUAACCUGGGAAUGGCAUUCAAGACUGGUUAGCUAGAGUCUUGUAGAGGGGGUUAGAAUUCCAUGUGUAGCGGUGAAAUGCGUAGAGAUGUGGAGGAAUACCGGUGGCGAAGGCGGCCCCUGGGACAAAGACUGACGCUCAUGUGCGAAAGCUGGGGAGCAAACAGGAUUAGAUACC